UACGUAGGGGGCAAGCGUUGUCCGGAUUUAUUGGGCGUAAAGAGCGUGUAGGCGGCCAGGUAGGUCCGUUGUGAAAACUGGAGGCUUAACCUCCAGCUGUCGAUGGAAACCAUCUGGCUAGAGUCCGGAAGAGGAGAGUGGAAUUCCUGGUGUAGCGGUGAAAUGCGCAGAUAUCAGGAGGAACACCGGUGGCGAAGGCGGGUCUCUGGGCCGAUACUGACGCUGAGGAGCGAAAGCAUGGGUAGCGAACAGG
rnacentral:rRNA from 1 species